rnacentral:rRNA from 1 species
ACGCUGGCGGCAUGCUUUACACAUGCAAGUCGGACGGCAGCACAGAGAAGCUUGCUUCUUGGGUGGCGAGUGGCGAACGGGUGAGUAAUAUAUCGGAACGUACCGAGUAAUGGGGGAUAACUAAUCGAAAGAUUAGCUAAUACCGCAUAUUCUCUGAGGAGGAAAGCAGGGGACCUUCGGGCCUUGCGUUAUUCGAGCGGCCGAUAUCUGAUUAGCUAGUUGGUGGGGUAAAGGCCUACCAAGGCGACGAUCAGUAGCGGGUCUGAGAGGAUGAUCCGCCACACUGGGACUGAGACACGGCCCAGACUCCUACGGGAGGCAGCAGUGGGGAAUUUUGGACAAUGGGCGCAAGCCUGAUCCAGCCAUGCCGCGUGUCUGAAGAAGGCCUUCGGGUUGUAAAGGACUUUUGUCAGGGAAGAAAAGGCUGUUGCUAAUACCGACAGCUGAUGACGGUACCUGAAGAAUAAGCACCGGCUAACUACGUGCCAGCAGCCGCGGUAAUACGUAGGGUGCGAGCGUUAAUCGGAAUUACUGGGCGUAAAGCGAGCGCAGACGGUUACUUAAGCAGGAUGUGAAAUCCCCGGGCUCAACCUGGUAACUGCGUUCUGAACUGGGUGACUAGAGUGUGUCAGAGGGAGGUAGAAUUCCACGUGUAGCAGUGAAAUGCGUAGAGAUGUGGAGGAAUACCGAUGGCGAAGGCAGCCUCCUGGGAUAACACUGACGUUCAUGCUCGAAAGCGUGGGUAGCAAACAGGAUUAGAUACCCUGGUAGUCCACGCCCUAAACGAUGUCAAUUAGCUGUUGGGCAACUUGAUUGCUUAGUAGCGUAGCUAACGCGUGAAAUCGACCGCCUGGGGAGUACGGUCGCAAGAUUAAAACUCAAAGGAAUUGACGGGGACCCGCACAAGCGGUGGAUGAUGU